GUAGGUGGCAAGCGUUGUCCGGAAUUAUUGGGCGUAAAGCGCGCGCAGGCGGUUCUUUAAGUCUGAUGUGAAAGCCCACGGCUCAACCGUGGAGGGUCAUUGGAAACUGGAGAACUUGAGUACAGAAGAGGAAAGCGGAAUUCCACGUGUAGCGGUGAAAUGCGUAGAGAUGUGGAGGAACACCAGUGGCGAAGGCGGCUUUCUGGUCUGUAACUGACGCUGAGGCGCGAAAGCGUGGGGAGCAAACAGGAUUAGAUACCCUGGUAGUCCACGCCGUAAACGAUGAGUGCUAAGUGUUAGGGGGUUUCCGCCCCCCUUAGUGCUGCAGCUGACGCAUUAAGCACUCCGCCUGGGAGUACGGCCGCAAGGCUG
rnacentral:rRNA from 1 species